rnacentral:tRNA from 1 species
GCCUAGCUAGCUCAGUCAGUAGAGCACGCAACUCCUGAUCUCAGGGUUGUGAGUUCAAGCCCCAUGUUGGGCA